CAACGAGUAAUUUAAUUUAUAAUCCUA
rnacentral:tRNA from 1 species